rnacentral:rRNA from 1 species
GUUUGAUCCUGGCUCAGAAUCAACGCUGGCGGCGUGCCUAACGCAUGCAAGUCGAACGAGAAAGGGGAGCAAUCCCCAAGUAAAGUGGCGACCGGGUGAGUAACACGUGACUGACCUACCCUCGAGUGUGGAAUAACAUCGGGAAACCGAUGCUAAUACCGCAUAACAUCGCAAGAUCAAAGGAGCAAUCCGCUUGAGGAGGGGGUCGCGGCUGAUUAGCUAGUUGGCGGGGUAACGGCCCACCAAGGCGAAGAUCGGUAGCCGGCCUGAGAGGGCGCACGGCCACACUGGAACUGAAACACGGUCCAGACUCCUACGGGAGGCAGCAGUGGGGAAUUUUGCGCAAUGGGGGAAACCCUGACGCAGCAACGCCGCGUGGAGGAUGAAGCCCCUUGGGGCGUAAA